rnacentral:rRNA from 1 species
UGGGGAAUCUUCCGCAAUGGACGAAAGUCUGACGGAGCAACGCCGCGUGAGUGAAGAAGGUUCUUGGAUCGUAAAGCUCUGUCUUCAGGGACGAAUGUUAUCCUUGUGAAUAAUGAGGGUAAAUGACGGUACCUGAGGAGGAAGCCACGGCUAACUACGUGCCAGCAGCCGCGGUAAUACGUAGGUGGCGAGCGUUGUCCGGAAUUAUUGGGCGUAAAGAGCGCGUAGGCGGGAUGAUAAGUCUGUUGUAAAAGUGCGGGGCUCAACCCCGUAAGGUCAAUGGAAACUGUCAUUCUUGAGUGCAGGAGAGGAAAGUGGAAUUCCCAGUGUAGCGGUGAAAUGCGUAGAUAUUGGGAGGAACACCAGUGGCGAAGGCGACUUUCUGGACUGUGUCUGACGC